rnacentral:lncRNA from 1 species
AUCAGUGGAACUGGAAAAUAACAUACAUGUGGCCACCCAUGCUCUGAAUCAGCUCACUGCAUCCUCUGCCUCCCGGAUUCAAGCGAUUCUCCUGCCUCAGCCUCCCAAGUAGCUGGGAUUACAGGUACCCACCACCAGGCUUCUUUAUUUAUUUGAACCCUCUGCUUGGACAACAUAGUCUUUAUAUUUGUGAGUUUUGGUAUAAAGGAAAAAGAAACACUUUUGCGGCUCCUAGAAAGGAUCACAAAAAGCUAGUUACAAUAUAAGCAACCACAUUUGCCAACAUAUUU